rnacentral:lncRNA from 1 species
GGAUGUCGUCGGUGUUUGUAGAGGUCCGAACUGUUUUUGAGAGGGUGUCUUAGGGUGUCGACAACAGGUCAACAGCAGUGGGUGCAUCGAUGGUGGGGGUGUCGACAAAAUCAAUCAGUGGAGGCUUGACGGUUGAGAAGGAGUCUGAAUUUUUUUGGGGUAAAUAAACUUAUCAACUUCAAUUUUGCCUACACACUGGGUGCAUCAUUAAGGAAGUCAGAUACAUACAAGUUUUCAAAAUCUUCUCAACUUCAAUUUUGCCUACACAGAUGAUCAGUGGCGGAACUAGCCCAAAAAUUUAGGGGUAUCCCAUUUUUUUAAUUUUUAGACCAGGGUAUCCUUUGUAUAACGGAGACGAAGUUGAGAGGUAUUUUUACACUACGAAAACGGAGUUAAGGUAUAUUUUUACACUACGGAGACGGGGUUGAGGGGUAGCCCGUGCCACCCCUUAUAAGCUUCUAAGUCCGCCCCUGCAGAUGAUUAUAUUAGUCUUUGCUCAUCAAAAUGUUUGGAAGGGAACCUUGAAGUUCCUAGGAGUUGGCCGGCAUCGAAGGAAAUUACCAGAUUUAGUUAUUUAAGCAACUGUGAAGAUGAACAAGAUUUUCGUGUUGCUGCCUGAAUUUUUUCGCCGGAGCAAGCUACUCGCCGAGAGAGAUGGCUGUGGUGGUGGUAGGUGUUACAAAUGAUGGAUGAUUUUUAUUAUAAUAUAUUUAUUUAAUGCGCAAAAUGACUAAAGUACCCUCAUGUGCCUUGUACAUGGCUGGAUUUAACUGAAAAUUAUAACCUGGUUAGGGCCAAAGGACGUAGAGUGUAAUGAGUUUUUCAAAUAAAGGACUGUGACUAUAAUUAUUG